rnacentral:rRNA from 1 species
UGGGGAAUAUUGCACAAUGGGCGCAAGCCUGAUGCAGCCAUGCCGCAUGUGUGAAGAAGGCCUUCGGGUUGUAAAGCACUUUCAGCGGGGAGGAAGGCGUUAAGGUUAAUAACCUUGGCGAUUGACGUUACCCGCAGAAGAAGCACCGGCUAACUCCGUGCCAGCAGCCGCGGUAAUACGUAGGUGGCAAGCGUUGUCCGGAUUUAUUGGGCGUAAAGCGAGCGCAGGCGGUUUCUUAAGUCUGAUGUGAAAGCCCCCGGCUCAACCGGGGAGGGUCAUUGGAAACUGGGAGACUUGAGUGCAGAAGAGGAGAGUGGAAUUCCAUGUGUAGCGGUGAAAUGCGUAGAUAUAUGGAGGAACACCAGUGGCGAAGGCGGCUCUCUGGUCUGUAACUGACGCUGAGGCUCGAAAGCGUGGGGAGCAAACAGG